rnacentral:hammerhead_ribozyme from 1 species
AUCCAGCUGACCAGUCCCAAAUAGGACGAAGCACGGGUCCUAUAU